AUUUCUAAGGCUCCAUUAGGGCUAAGGUUCAUGUAUCCAUGGUGAAGUAUAGAAGAACUCACAAUCGUUCCAAACAUAAUGGGCUUGGAGUAAUGGAGAACUCCAAGAGCAGGAGGUAACCAUUAAGAAAAGGAAAAUCCUACGGAGGAGGGGCUCUGAUGGCUUUGAAGAAGGCAGUGAAUGGCCGCAUGUUCCCUGAGGACAGCACAGGCUAAAGGCUCAGCUUGAAGAAAGGCACAGAGAUAGCAAGGUAUAGUGAAAUGGCCUCUAACUUAUUUUGAAUGGAUUUCUGGGAUAAAGUUCUUCAGUGAUAACAUGUUUGAACAUAGGCUUCAGGAAAGAGGCACUGGCCUUUACUUCUCCACCUCGAUUCAUUUCCAUGCUGUUGACAAAUGUUAUAGUUGCCCAGGAUCAGAGGGAGAAAAUGACCCUGUGACCAUUUCCCCAAAGGCGGCCUUUGGCCACUCCGUGCACUGGAGCACAUGACCCUCUGCCUCGCCCCUGCCACAUUAACCAGGAGGCAGCUAUCUUAUGUGCCCAUGUUACAUGCUCAUGAUAAAGCUGCAUUUCCUGAGGGGACACCAAUGGAUACACCUCUGCCUGGCACGCAGCUUAGAGGCUAAAUGUAUGAAAAGCAACACCAUGCAAAUCAUUUUGAAACUGCUCUGGAACCCUCACGGGACCCUCCAUUCUAGACAUCCAGUCCUACUAGUGAACUGACCGUGAAACCUACUAAGAGACUUCCAGAAGAAGAUGACCUCUGAAAGGAGAAAACUUUCUUCCAAGCUUCUGUGGAACAAGAAGAGAUCAUUUGUACAAAUCUUGAAACCAAAGCACAGCCUGUAUGAACCCAUGUUGAACCCUGGACUUUCAGGACUACUGUAUGGCUAACCACAGCCCUGCAAGGCCAGGCUCAGCAUGUCACAGUUUUGCCACUGAACAAGAAUCUUUCGAAGGAUCGCAAACACUAUGUGGAAAAUGACUGUAUUCUUUCUGCAAGGCCACUCUCUUAGACAUCACUCUAACAAA
rnacentral:lncRNA from 1 species